rnacentral:rRNA from 1 species
UGCAAGUCGAGCGGCAGCGCGGGGGCAACCCUGGCGGCGAGCGGCGAACGGGUGAGUAAUGUAUCGGAACGUACCCAGUCGUGGGGGAUAACUAUCCGAAAGGAUAGCUAAUACCGCAUACGUCCUGAGGGAGAAAGCGGGGGACCGUAAGGCCUCGCGCGAUUGGAGCGGCCGAUAUCGGAUUAGCUAGUUGGUGAGGUAAAGGCUCACCAAGGCGACGAUCCGUAGCUGGUCUGAGAGGACGACCAGUCACACUGGAACUGAGACACGGUCCAGACUCCUACGGGAGGCAGCAGUGGGGAAUUUUGGACAAUGGGGGCAACCCUGAUCCAGCCAUUCCGCGUGAGUGAAGAAGGCCUUCGGGUUGUAAAGCUCUUUCGGCAGGAACGAAACGGUGGCCCCUAAUACGGGUUACUAAUGACGGUACCUGAAGAAGAAGCACCGGCUAACUACGUGCCAGCAGCCGCGGUAAUACGUAGGGUGCGAGCGUUAAUCGGAAUUACUGGGCGUAAAGCGUGCGCAGGCGGUUAUGUAAGACAGGUGUGAAAUCCCCGGGCUUAACCUGGGAACUGCGCUUGUGACUGCAUAACUCGAGUGUGGCAGAGGGGGGUGGAAUUCCACGUGUAGCAGUGAAAUGCGUAGAGAUGUGGAGGAAC